rnacentral:rRNA from 1 species
CUAGAGCCCUGUAUUGUAUCCGGCUAUGUGUAGGUUAAUGAUCCCAAGGCUUGAGCAUGGGAGUGGGCUGGCCCCACCGAAUGGACUGAAACGUCCAUACACCUACGGGUGGCUGCAGUCGAGAAUCUCGGCAAUGAACGAAGUCGACGAGCGACGCCGCGGAUUGAUGAAGCUUUCCGAGGUGUAAGAUCUUUAUGAGGGAGAAGUUUAUUGACGGUACCUCAUGAUAAGGGGCUCCUAAUUCUCGUGCCAGCAGGAGCGGUAAUACGAGAGCCCCGAGCGUUAUCCGGAAUUAUUGGGCGUAAAGGGUGCGUAGGUGGUCGUGUUAGUCGUUUGUCAAAUCCUCGGGCUUAACCUGAGAACUGCGAACGGAACGGCACAACUUGAGAGUGUGAGGGGUGAAUGGAACUCAUGGUGUAGGGGUGAAAUCCGUUGAUAUCAUGGGGAACACCAAAAGCGAAGGCAAUUCACUGGCACAUAUCUGACACUCAAGCACGAAAGCGUGGGUAGCGAAUGGGAUUAGAUACCCCAGUAGUCCACGCCCUAAACGAUGAUCUCUAGUCUUUCGGAGUAUCGACCCUCUGAGAGACGUAGCUAACGCGUUAAGAGAUCCGCCUGGGAAAUACGGCCGCAAGGCUAAAACUCAAAGGAAUAGACGGGGACUUGCACAAGCAGUGGAUUAUGUGGUUUAAUUCGACGAUAAGCGAAGAACCUUACCAAGGUUAGAAAUCAACGUGAAAGCCCCGAGAAACCGGGGCCCUCGCAAGACUAGUUGACAGGUGUUGCAUGGCCGUCGUCAGUUCGUGGUUUGAAUUGUUCCCUUAAGUGGGGUAACGAACGCAACCCUCGUCGUGUGUUACAAGUGUCACACGAGACUGCUCCGACCAAAGGACGUAAUUGUAAUUUUACAAUUGUUUCUUUCGGUCGGAGAGGAAGGAGAGGAUGACGCCAGGUCAGCAUGACCCUUGAUACCUUGGGCUACACACAUAAUACAAUCGCUACUACAACGGGCUGCGACGAGGUAACUCUGAGCUAAUCCUUCAAAAGUAGCGCCAGUUCGGAUUGGGGGCUGCAACUCGACCCCAUGAAGUUGGAAUUGCUAGUAAUCGCGGGUCAGACAUACCGCGGUGAAUACGUUCUCAAGUCUUGUACUCACCGCCCGUCAAUUCAAGGGAGCCGGGAGUACCCGAAGUCUCUCCAUACGGAGGGCCUACGGUAAGCUCGGUGACAGGGAAUAAGUCGUAACAAGGUAACCA